UACGUAGGGUGCAGGCGUUAAUCGGAAUUACUGGGCGUAAAGCGUGCGCAGGCGGUUAUGCAAGACAGAUGUGAAAUCCCCGGGCUCAACCUGGGAACUGCAUUUGUGACUGCAUGGCUGGAGUGCGGCAGAGGGGGAUGGAAUUCCGCGUGUAGCAGUGAAAUGCGUAGAUAUGCGGAGGAACACCGAUGGCGAAGGCAAUCCCCUGGGCCUGCACUGACGCUCAUGCACGAAAGCGUGGGGAGCAAACAGG
rnacentral:rRNA from 1 species